AACGAACGCUGGCGGCAUGCCUAACACAUGCAAGUCGAACGAGACCUUCGGGUCUAGUGGCGCACGGGUGCGUAACGCGUGGGAAUCUGCCCUUAGGUUCGGAAUAACUUCGGGAAACUGAAGCUAAUACCGGAUGAUGACGUAAGUCCAAAGAUUUAUCGCCUAAGGAUGAGCCCGCGUUGGAUUAGCUAGUUGGUGAGGUAAAGGCUCACCAAGGCGACGAUCCAUAGCUGGUCUGAGAGGAUGAUCAGCCACACUGGGACUGAGACACGGCCCAGACUCCUACGGGAGGCAGCAGUGGGGAAUAUUGGACAAUGGGCGAAAGCCUGAUCCAGCAAUGCCGCGUGAGUGAUGAAGGCCUUAGGGUUGUAAAGCUCUUUUACCCGAGAUGAUAAUGAACAGUAAUCGGGAGGAAUAAGCUCCGGCUAACUCCGUG
rnacentral:rRNA from 1 species